rnacentral:misc_RNA from 1 species
GAUGAAGAACGUAGCGAAAUGCGAUACGUAAUGUGAAUUGCAGAAUUCAGUGAAUCAUCGAGUCUUUGAACGCACAUUGCGCCCCCUGGUAUUCCGGGGGGCAUGCCUGUCCGAGCGUCAUUGCUGCCCUCAAGCACGGCUUGUGUGUUGGGCCUCCGUCCUCCUCCCGGGGGACGGGCCCGAAAGGCAGCGGCGGCACCGCGUCCGGUCCUCGAGCGUAUGGGGCUUCGUCACCCGCUCUUGUAGGCCUGGCCGGCGCUUGCCGACACAUCAAUCUUUUUUCCAGGUUGACCUCGGAUCAGGUAGGGAUACCCGCUGAACUUAAGCAUAUCAAUAAGCGGAGGA